rnacentral:rRNA from 1 species
UUGAACGCUGGCGGCAGGCCUAACACAUGCAAGUCGAACGGUAACAGGAAGAAGCUUGCUUCUUUGCUGGCGCGUGGCGGACGGGUGAGUAAUGUCUGGGAAACUGCCUGAUGGAGGGGGAUAACUACUGGAAACGGUAGCUAAUACCGCAUAACGUCGCAAGACCAAAAAGGGGGACCUUCGGGCCUCUUGCCAUCGGAUGUGCCCAGAUGGGAUUAGCUAGUAGGUGGGGUAACGGCUCACCUAGGCGACGAUCCCUAGCUGGUCUGAGAGGAUGACCAGCCACACUGGAACUGAGACACGGUCCAGACUCCUACGGGAGGCAGCAGUGGGGAAUAUUGCACAAUGGGCGCAAGCCUGAUGCAGCCAUACCGCGUGUAUGAAGAAGGCCUUCGGGUUGUAAAGUACUUUCAGCGGGGAGGAAGGGAGUAAAGUUAAUACCUUUGCUCAUUGACGUUACCCGCAGAAGAAGCACCGGCUAACUCCGUG